UCCUGUUACCUGCGGAAUUGAGGAGAUCCCGCUCCAACAAUGUGGAGGGCCGGAGCAGACAGGACCUCUUCCCUUUUAAAAAUGUCUCCGCAGAGUACUGUGAUUCCAAUAUGACUUUAAUGAAAUGUAGUGAAGGACUGGGGGAAAAAUGUACUUGCUUUCCAUGAAGAAACCAUGCAGGAGGAGUGCGGAGAAGGCGCGGACGUUUCAAAGGAGCCGAAACUCAGAUGGCCUGUAGGGGAGGAUGCGCUGAGCCUGCUAAGGAAACCACAUGAUAUGAGAUGUUGCUGAGAAAAAAAUUGAAGUGUCUCCAGUGUACAACUAUCAUUUGAAGAUUGAAUAACGUAGUGCUGCUUGGCUCAUUAGACUCUGUUGCAUAGGUCAGCCUUGAUGAGCAGGACAAAGCAACAGCUAAGCCGAAGGCCCCGCCGGGUGUGACUGAUAAUGAAACGACAAGGACGGGUGAAAGUGAGAAACUAGCUGUUCUCUAAGUGCUGUUUUGUGCUGUGGCUGUGUGACUGGCACAGUCACUGGAUGUGACAGUAUUCUACACAUUGGGACCCUUGCCACUGCAUAAUAGAAUUGGACACUUCUCAACUUGUAAGUGGGAAAAAAAUA